UUGGAGACCACAAGAAGCCGUUCUGUGCUCCUGUCUCCCUUAACCGUAUUCUCGUGGCUAUGUCAACUCGAACAUGCUAGCUGACCGUGCAGAGAUUGGUAGAGACGGAAAACGGGGAGACAAGCUGCCAAGGGCCCUUACACUGCAGUAGAACACAGCUCAAGCCAACCACGGCUGCGUGACUGCGGCCCCUAAGGCCGCCACACCGGUAUCGCGCGGCCGACAACACACACCCCCAGGGGAAAAAAAACACGCGCGCGACAGACAACACAAGACGCGAGGCCAAAGGACGCCCAACGACCACCACGACAACGCACACAACGGCAACCCUAACGUGCCAAAGCCCGACCAAGAGACCGACCAAGUCCUACAGCGAAAAGCGCCCCCUCCAAGGGCUCCCAAGACCACUCUACAAGGCUAAACGACCCAACUGCAACCAAAACUUCCUCAAGUCUCUGCUCUCGACCCGAUUGCUGACAAGCCACUCCUCAGCGGGCGUCUUCUACCUGUCCGCCACUAGCCGAGCCCGGUGCGGAGGUGCCUGAAACUGGUCAGUGAAGAAAGGAAAAGCGAGGGGGGGGUGGAAGAAGAGAUAGCGACCUCGAAGCAAAGGGGGAAAGGUGGGCGGGAAGCUGUCAGCUAUAAGCUGAAGCUCUACUGAGUGAAAGGCAGAAUGCCUGAAACGAAAGGGCUGAAGCAAGUAAUACUCGCCAUUCCAAUACGGUUGUACGACAGUCGCACAGAACCAGACUUAGAGACUCCGAUCGCUUCACUCCGUCGUAUCUAAGUCAACAAUACGUGAAGCCGAUAAAUAUCCCUAUCAUAAAAUCCAAGCACUUAGCCGCUCCGGACCCAAGACCCAAAACUUGCGGACCAGCCAAUGGCCCUCCCACCCACCCAUUAAAGGGAUGUGGUGUGGCUUGAUUAAACAUUGGGAUCGGGUGCAAGGCUGGACGCAGCGCCCACCUUACGCUAGGCCGGUACGGAGCGACGAGCAUUAGCAUUCAAGCACUCCCCAGGGAAAAUCGUUUGGGGAGAUUCUCAGGCUCCCCACGGGGAGAGAGCCCCGGUUCAAAGGUCCCUCCCCAGCGGCAGAGGUCCCCACGGCUUGGGGACGCAGCCAUACUUCCAAAUGUUGUAAGCCAAAUAUUAUAAGCCAAAUGUCGUAAGCCAAAUGUUGCAGGCCCAAGUUUGUUUACUCGCUGCCCACCAUAAUCGACUUCAUAUCAGAAUCGUGGCGAAGGGCUACGUCCGAGAACUGACGACAUGCAGAAUAAGGCAUCCUAGACGAACAUGUCGCUUAUCUUCCACCUUGUGCAGCGCGCGCAACUCACAGAUCCACUCUGCUCACGGGGCUUUCUAAAGGUAUGAUUCGCCGCUAGGGCCAACAGCGCGUUCGAAAUCUCAUUUUAUAGAACGGUGCACAUUUUUGCUGUGUUAAGCUCCCGGAAAUGUGGAAGCCAGGUAGGCCCAGCCGACCUUUUAAACGGCAAACCCAUCCAAUGCGCGUAUUUCGCCAUCAUAACCCCUGGUUGCUUUCCAUCCAACGGGGAAUCCGAUGGACCCGCAGGCUCAGCUUCGGGUGAGCCCAUGCGGCCAUAAGCUGCCGCCUAACUCGGAGAGGACUGCACCCUCCGGGAUUGGCCUGCUUGCCAGUCGACCUUAUCAUGAUCCAACACUAACAAGGUGGCAUAUUGCUCCAAAUAUCAGACUUCAUAGCAGGUAAUCCAUUCCACACAGUAAAAUGUAAGCUCCUUCAAAAGCGGAACAGCUUGGACGCCCAACCAUCUGAGAGUUUCCCCCUCAACGCCAAGAGCACCUCCUGGUGUGGGGUUGCGUGAGCAAGUCAGAGAAACGGACCCCGCUGGGUCACCACUUGAUUCCAAAAGCCGAUAGCUCGCUUGGCCCAAAAAUAGUGCAGAGGAAAUUGCAAGAGCUCAGCAAACAGCAGCCUGUGCGCCGCCCGUGCAGCUCCUACUAUUUUGCGCAUGAACAAAAUACCUGCAGCUUCACCAUACGAUCAAUCAGACAGUUGACUUGUUACGGUCAUGGCACUUAGUGGUUCAUGAUGGAGCUUCAUCUAGAGCAUCUGCUCCCCACAUAUCACAGCCACAGGAGCAACAAACUGCAAUCCAACGCACCUCUUCCGUACACCAGGGGCCCAUUAACUUGUCUAGCUCGGCUAAUAAGCGGAACGUAGCAACUCCCCUGGCCUCAGUGAGGGGGCUCUCUACGAGUGGAAAAGUGUAGUGAGUCUGGUUGAGACGCACCAAAAUACAGCGAAAUGUAGCAGCGGAAAACAGACCACAAUAGGUGGUAAAGGUGCGAGGUGGGUGUGACCACGACACCAGUAGUAAUAGCAACGCUAGACUACUCAUGCCUACCAGGCAUCCGCACCGAAUUAUAUACGAUCGGUAACUGGUGACCGUAGCCCUGCGGGACUCCUCUUAACCUUCCUUGAUAGGAUAGGUCGAUCGACGCGACUGUAUGACUGACGACUGUCACACUUUACACAACCGACAACCUGUCAGUUGAUCUCAGCCUCGAACGUUGAAACGUCCGUUCGAUAUCCAACUGGGAUAUGCUGGGAUUCAUUAAUUACAUAACCAUACUGGUUAGAUUGACCAACCAUAGGCCACAACAUUUAUCCCCUCCUUUUAGGAGUCGUGCCCUCACGACUACGGGACUUAAUGAACUGCAACUCAGCAGCCAUAUCCGGUGUAAAGUGGUCAGCUGGUUCCCAACUGUUAUGUUCCGACUCGAAACCUUUCCACUUAACCAGAUAUUCAUCGACGUACUUACGUCCCACCUUCCGGCGGCGAUAGUCCAAUACUCGGUCUAUCGGAUAAGUAGUAUCCUCAGAGAACUCCUCCGGUAAUUGCUCAACAGGCAACGGUUGAAAAGUACCAUCGGUACGGUAGGGCUUAACAAGCGAUACAUGAAAUACAUUAUGUAUCUUCAAGUUGCUUGGAAGCUUCAGCUUCACAGCGACAUUUCCUACCAUUUGUUCGACCUCGAACGGGCCACACCAACGAGGCGUGAGUUUACGAAUGCCCUUACCUCGCAAACGCAAGUUUUUAGUACUUAAUAAAACAAGUUGUCUUGGCUCAAACAAAACAUCCCUUUUCUUGGCGUUGUAGUGUUGCUCAGUACGACUUUGAGCCGCCAAUAAACAUCGUUUAGCAUCAGCUAGGCGUUGAUCCAGUGUUUGCACAAAUGCCUUAGCUGUUGGUACAGUAACAUCUAACUCUUGUACAGUAGGUGUUGCAGGAUGAUAACCGUAAUUUAGAAAGAAGGGUGUUUGACCAGUAGACCAGUAGACCGGUUUACCGAAUUGUUAACAGCAAAUUCCGCCAAGGAUAAAACUUUAUCCCACGUGGAUGGAGAUCCAUCACAGUAAUUUCGCAACAUGUCGGCCAGCACACGGUUCAUGCGCUCUGUUUGACCAUUGGUCUGUGGAUGGAAUGCUGUAGACAGAUCUGAACGAAGAUCGACCAUACGAGCCAUAUGUUGCCAGAACAUUCCAGCAAACUGCGGUCCUCUAUCAGAGACUGUGGUUUUGGGCAAUCCAUGCAAUCGAACAACGUUUGCAAGGAACAACUCCGCAGUUUUCUCCGCUGUGACAUGCGUAUUGGUUGGUACCAAAUGAUCCAUCUUGGUGAGACGAUCCACCAUAACAAAAAUGGCGUCGUGUUGUCGUUGCGUACGCGGCAAACUAACCACAAAAUCCAUUGAGACACUGUGGUAAAGGAUACCGGUUCUUUACCGUUUGAGCGUUUAGCCCACGAUAGUCUACAACCAUUCGUAGGGUGCCGUCCUUUUUAGCAACGAAAAGGAUUGGUGCAGCCCACGGCGAACUACUUGGCCGUAUCAUCCCUUUACGCAACAAGUCUUCAACUUGUCGUUUAACUUCCUCCAAUUCAUUUGGAGUUAGUCGAUAUAGGGGCCGAGCAACGGGCUGAGCACCUUCGACCAGUGGGAUGGUAUGAGUCACCAAUCUUUCAGGAGGUGGCUCAGUUAUGUCCGCAAAGAUAUCCUGAUAUCGCUCCAACAAGGCGGCGAUUUCUGGAUCCGUCACUUUUACUUCAGCGGCUGAGGUAGUCAGUACGUCCGGCCCACCUGACCCACGGGUCGCAGCUGCGCGUACUACUGCGCCAGCAGUUAGCCGCGGACGGACUAAUAACACGUGCGCUCCCUUUCGCACCAUGUUUUUCGCUUGUGUGCGAUUAAUUGAUAAGCACUCUGCCCUGGCUUGCAUUGCCAUGAUAACGUGAUGUUUUGGGCGCUGAUCUUUGGAAGGAUCCUCCUUUCCGUGCGAAUAGGUACGACGAAACUCUUGCGUACCCUUCCGGAGUGUUACCACUCUGGUGUCAAAAUCGAUUCGCAUUCGACUUUGCUCUAAGAUAUUCGCACCUAAGAUCAGAUCAGCCGAGGUUGGCAACCCCUUCAUCACUAGGGUAGGUACUACCAACCGCACCGGUCCCACUCUCACCUUCAGCAUCGUAUGACCAACGAUGGGGGACAUUCCAACAUCCGCCAACCGUACGUACGUGAAGGUUGAGGGUAGCACGUGAAGAUGAAGAAGACGCACCAGCGCCUCGGAAACGAAGCUAUGCGUAGCUCCCGAAUCCAACAUGGCCAUAAACGUAGACCCUGAAAUCUUCACUGCUAGGUGAGGAACAGCAUUCCCAAUAGCUGUACAGGCAGGGAUUUCUUCCGUGCUGUCUGGACCAUCAUACCAUACCUCCAUAACUUCAGUAAUAGGAGGAAGAAGCGCGCGGCUUCCUUGUACAUCUGGUACGUAAAACAAAGAGGUACCCACUGGGUAUCGUCGUACCAAUUUCAUGCCUUUUAACAAAGAUGGUUCCGUUCCACUAGGAACUAGCAUGCAAGCUGCUGUUGACUGUGGAGCCAGCGGCUUACAGGCACGAUAAUGCGUUACGUACGCAGGCAAGUCAGCUGCAUUCGGAGCCAUCCAGACUGUAUGUCCGGCGUUACGUACGCAGGCAAGUCAGCUGCAUUCGGAGCCAUCCAGACUGUAUGUCCGGCAACGUUGGUAUCAAGGAAUGGGCGGGCUGUACACGAGAAAGCGUUACAUACGGCAGACAAGCCGCAGUCUGAUGCACAUGCAUCUAAAGUGAACUCUCGGCCCACAGUGGUUGCAAUACUAGCAACUUCGCUUUCGUGCACUGAUCGUCCCAAACCCUGCCAAUACUUGGACCAAAGACAAUUCCCAUCCGGGCGUCGAACGAACCUCGGAGGGGCAACUCCCUAGGCAACAGUGCCACCGGCACCACCGGCGCCAGCAUCCUCGUUCCAACGAGGACAGUUGUCAUAAGUGUGAUCCAAACCCAGGCACACCCAGCAACCGCGGAGGGACAUCGCCAGUUCAAUCUGCGCUUUUGGUAGGUACCCCCCACCAGGCGCUGGCUUGUUAGACAGCGCCAGGUUCACCCGCUGACGCUUCCGUCCCAUCACUUGUUGCCAUUCACCCUGGACCACUCGGCCCGCACCGCGACCGGCAGCCUCUGCACCGCGACCUGCGGCGGCUCCUCCUCGGGCACCACGGCCUCGACCCGGGUUAACAUUACCCCGGCCUCCCUGUCCGCGACCCCCACCUGGACCAUUGCGUCCGGCCACGCGGCCUGCUGGGCCACCACCACGUCCACCACCCCGGCCACGGCCUCCAGCACCACGGCCCGCACCCGCGUUGGCCGGCUGAAUAGGGGCAGCGACGGGCGGCGCCUGGACAGGUCCAGCGUGUACUGGAGCGGGUGCCGCCACAGCAGCAGCAAAGGAAGGUGGAGCCUGUAGGGCAGCAGCAUGAGAACGUACACGAGCAGCGGACUGUUGAACAGCCAUGCGAACUGCAUGUUGUUUUUCGACCCCCAUCGCAUGUGCCCGCAACUCGGCAUAGACGGUAUGCUCUUGGAAAUCAGUCGGGCGUACGGCGCACUCUUCACGUAAGUAUGGCAAUAGCUUCUCGCGGAAAUGCCAAAGCUUAGUUGGUUCUUGCAUAUCAGGAAUAUCCUGAAGUAGCGCUUCAAAACGACCAGCAAACGUAAGGACUGACUCAUUAAGCUCUUGCUUAAAGGCAGCGCUAUAGAAGGUAGUGCGCGCUACGUGCGUGCGAGAGUACAUCUCCGGGGCAAACCUGACCAGGAAGGCGUCCAGCAACUGAUCUGGGGUAUAGUCAGGAACCGACUUGGUCCAUGUAAUGUGCCACUCUUUGAAGAAUCCCUCCAAAGCCCCACUGAUAAACAACUUUUGCGCUGGAAUGUUAGCUUGCCAGCCAACAAGAACAAAGUAAUCCCGAACAUCAGCCACGAAUGCACGAAUUCGGUCGGGUUCUACGGGUGUUGCAACGGGCAACUUUGGCGCAGGGAUGUUACGUACCAUCUGCACAUCCGGGAGCUGUGCGACCGCAACAGCUGCUGGCACAGCAACGGGCUGUGCGGGGUCUGGCAUUGCGCCAGCGGCGGGUGCUCCAGCAAUAGGGAUUACUGGUUGACCAACAGGUGCGACGGGCACGGGCACAACGGGUGCCAACGGGGGAGCGGCAGCACCAGCCUCACCCGCUGCAGGGGCAGCAGCAGCAGCAGGCGCAGCUGCGGCAUCAGCAACUUGCUGAAAGGGGAUAUUCAGGUUAACUCCACCUGGUGCGGCAGCAUUCUGCGCCGGGCCCCAACCUGCGCCCCAUUGCCAACUGGCAAGGCUGGGUUCCCUGAGGAGCCUGACGCCAUAGGGUCGUUUGUUCCGCCUGUCCCGUUCACUACAAUACAGUAGGAUCUUGCUCACCGGGACAGCUAAUCGAACAACUUACUUGCAGUAAGAAGUUACUUACUGGGAGAGAUAGUCAGACGUGCGAAAUAUUCGCACUCCCUAUCAAUGCGCCCGGAAUGAGGGACUGCCGCUGUCCCAUGGACCUAUGGUCUCGAUACCAAAUCUGUAGUGAGUCUGGUUGAGACGCACCAAAAUACAGCGAAAUGUAGCAGCGGAAAACAGACCACAAUAGGUGGUAAAGGUGCGAGGUGGGUGUGACCACGACACCAGUAGUAAUAGCAACGCUAGACUACUCAUGCCUACCAGGCAUCCGCACCGAAUUAUAUACGAUCGGUAACUGGUGACCGUAGCCCUGCGGGACUCCUCUUAACCUUCCUUGAUAGGAUAGGUCGAUCGACGCGACUGUAUGACUGACGACUGUCACACUUUACACAACCGACAACCUGUCAGUUGAUCUCAGCCUCGAACGUUGAAACGUCCGUUCGAUAUCCAACUGGGAUAUGCUGGGAUUCAUUAAUUACAUAACCAUACUGGUUAGAUUGACCAACCAUAGGCCACAACAAAAAGGUUUUCUCUGGUCCGUAUAAAUGCUCUCCAUAGACAGCAGGCCUUGUCGAGUUCGUCUAGCCAUGAGCUAUUAGUAUUAGCUAUGCAUGAUUCUUCGGGGCCCAGUCUCCAUAACACGAAGGGAAUGUGCGCCUGUAACAUGAGUGACUGGGAGUGAAAAGUUAUGUAGGUUAGGUACGCAUCCCACACAUACUCUGAACAGAGACAGAGACAGAGACAGAGACAGAGACAGAGACAGAGACAGAGACAGAGACAGAGACAGAGACAGAGACAGAGACAGAGAC
rnacentral:lncRNA from 1 species